AUUGAACGCUGGCGGCAUGCCUUACACAUGCAAGUCGAACGGUAACAGGUCUUCGGAUGCUGACGAGUGGCGAACGGGUGAGUAAUACAUCGGAACGUGCCCGAUCGUGGGGGAUAACGAAGCGAAAGCUUUGCUAAUACCGCAUAAGAUCUACGGAUGAAAGCAGGGGACCGCAAGGCCUUGCGCGAACGGAGCGGCCGAUGGCGGAUUAGGUAGUUGGUGGGAUAAAAGCUUACCAAGCCGACGAUCUGUAGCUGGUCUGAGAGGACGACCAGCCACACUGGGACUGAGACACGGCCCAGACUCCUACGGGAGGCAGCGGUGGGGAAUUUUGGACAAUGGGCGAAAGCCUGAUCCGGCCAUGCCGCGUGCAGGAUGAAGGCCUUCGGGUUGUAAACUGCUUUUGUACGGAACGAAAAGACUCUUUCUAAUAAAGAGGGUCCAUGACGGUACCGUAAGAAUAAGCACCGGCUAACUACGUGCCAGCAGCCGCCGUAA
rnacentral:rRNA from 1 species